GACAGAGGGUGCAAACGUUGCUCGGAAUUACUGGGCGUAAAGCGCGUGUAGGCGGACCAACAAGUCAGGCGUGAAAUCCCUGGGCUCAACCCAGGAACUGCACCUGAAACUGUCGGUCUUGAGUGGUGGAGAGGGAAGCAGAAUUCCUGGUGUAGAGGUGAAAUUCGUAGAUAUCAGGAGGAACACCGGUGGCGAAGGCGGCUUCCUGGACACUAACUGACGCUGAGGAGCGAAAGCGUGGGGAGCAAACAGG
rnacentral:rRNA from 1 species